GAACGCUGGCGGCGUGCCUAAUACAUGCAAGUCGAGCGGACCGAYGGGAGCUUGCUCCCUUAGGUCAGCGGCGGACGGGUGAGUAACACGUGGGUAACCUGCCUGUAAGACUGGGAUAACUCCGGGAAACCGGGGCUAAUACCGGAUGCUUGAUUGAACCGCAUGGUUCAAUCAUAAAAGGUGGCUUUUAGCUACCACUURCAGAUGGACCCGCGGCGCAUUAGCUAGUUGGUGAGGUAACGGCUCACCAAGGCGACGAUGCGUAGCCGACCUGAGAGGGUGAUCGGCCACACUGGGACUGAGACACGGCCCAGACUCCUACGGGAGGCAGCAGUAGGGAAUCUUCCGCAAUGGACGAAAGUCUGACGGAGCAACGCCGCGUGAGUGAUGAAGGUUUUCGGAUCGUAAAACUCUGUUGUUAGGGAAGAACAAGUACCGUUCGAAUAGGGCGG
rnacentral:rRNA from 1 species